rnacentral:lncRNA from 1 species
GUGGAUAAUUACUGUACCUUCCUCAUGGAAAAAGUUUUAUUUAAAGUGUUACUUCUCAUUGAAUACUAUCAAAAAGGGAAAAAAAAAUGACCUAAACUUUUGAGAUAGAUUUGGCUCUAGUGUAAAUUUUGAUACCACCAUUGCCGCCUUCCCCUCAAAAAAGGUGAGAACUGACUAAACUACUGGUACUUAGACCAUGUGGAGAAGGAACUGAAAAUGGAAACAGAAACACGUCUGUACAGAGCAGAGUGUCAGAUAAUAGCUCAUUUUAGUAGAGGGCAAUAAAUGCCACAUGAGAUGAUCACCUCAGCAGAAAACUGUAAGUAAAUGGAGACUUACAGGAGAAUUGAACAGUUGUUUCUGCUGACUCAGUAAAAAGUCUUCAUUUUAUAAUUUGUGGCCUGCAUGCUUGUAAAUUAAAAUGCAUUGAGUUGU